CACGGCACUGCAGGCCAUGCUC
rnacentral:miRNA from 1 species